rfam:Corynebacterium variabile DSM 44702, complete genome.
UGAGGCAACUCUGGAAAGAGCAGGUCACCGUCGUCCGUGACCCGCCGCCGAAGGAGAAAGGCACCCUAGAAAGCACACCAGCGUGGUCAUGCUGAAGCUCUCAGGCACCAUCGACAGAGUGGGGAGG